CACGUAGGCACCAAGCGUUGUUCGGAUUCAUUGGGCGUAAAGGGUGCGUAGGCGGCGCGGUAAGUCGGGUGUGAAAUCUCGGGGCUUAACUCCGAAACUGCAUUCGAUACUGCCGUGCUUGAGGACUGGAGAGGAGACUGGAAUUUACGGUGUAGCGGUGAAAUGCGUAGAUAUCGUAAGGAAGACCAGUGGCGAAGGCGGGUCUCUGGACAGUUCCUGACACUGAGGCGCGAAAGCGUGGGGAGCAAACAGG
rnacentral:rRNA from 1 species